rnacentral:tRNA from 1 species
GCGCCUGUAGCUCAGUUGGAUAGAGCAGCGGACUUCUAAUCCGCAGGUCGCAGGUUCGAAUCCUGCCAGGCGCGCCA